UAAUUCUUAAGCUUCCUUAAUUUUACGAAUUUAUAUUCAAGGCCAAUUAUCUUAUACACGUACAUCGUUCCUAUUUAAUAUAUUCAAAAUUUCUAGUAACAGAUUAUCGUGAUGCAAAAAGGCGAGCAGGAAUAGUCGGAUCAGGAACAAAGACGAGUAAUCGCCUCUAAUAUAAUAAUAGCCGAUGCGUGCAUCGGCCUACGGCUUAUUUUUUUUUUUUUUUAUACCGUUCGAAUCAUCCUAACUUUGGAUUUAAACGCCGGAAGCAGGAGCAACACGCUGGAACCUUGAUAGUUCGUCGAAAAAGUAGCCUAAGGCUUCGAUGGAUCUCUCGUAGGUCAAGAUUCUAAUAAAUCUGCGAAUAAUGAUUUAAUAAUUUCUAUUUAUUUGGGCGAAUUUUUCUAUCUGCGAUAGUAACUCCCUCUACAUACUUCUAAUCCUUGACGCUUUAACGAGAAACAACACAUCAAACGUGAAUACCUACGAUAAAUAUUUCUCGUGUAAGAACUGCCGUAAAUUAAGAUUUUCUGAACAAUUUAUAAAUUAAUAACAAACGAAACGAAAUAGAGGAAAUAAUUUUAAAUGGAGAGUGGUUGAAACAAUAUCGUCUCAAACGAUGUUAACCUCAAAGAUUAUUUGGAAACGCUUCUAUAGGUUAGGAUGACGUAGUCAUGGGUUAGCCGGAGGUUACUUCGUCGACUCGCUAUUGGCAAAUCGCGACUUGGAGGAGCCGGCGGCCGCCGCUUCGUGUCCUCUGGCAAGGAAAAGAAACCGAUAUUGAUGAAGGAAGAGAGGAGAACAACUUUCACGCGACCACGAGGCUUCUUCGUAUCGGAAUGCAUCCGUGCCCUGUGUGUCUCCCCGAGGGAAAGAAGAUCCCUUAGCCGUUUUAAUUGCAAAUUUCUCCUGCCUGAUCUGCUUGCAAAUUGUUCAACGGAACUGGUCAAGCCAUUAUCGUUAAGGGCUCCUGUGAUCAACACUGAAUUUCUAACAAAGAUCAUCUAUUCUUUGAAAAUAAUUUUUUUCUUUCUUUCAAGUUAUAUAACGUUUUGUUUUGUUUGAUUCAGGUAUAAUAGCAGAUACGUCGAAUGAAAAAGAGGUUAUGUUAAAGAGAUCUUUGUUGCAAAAGCCGACUCUUGAACGAGAUGUAAUGAACUUCAAUUAUGACGCUGCCGCGUUUCCAUGGGACUGAGACCGCGCAAUAAGCUUUGAAAGUAACUAGUAAAGAAGCCAAGUGAUUCAGUCGUUGAUAUUGUGCGCGGAGAUGCAGAAAACUUUAUGAUGCAACAACAAAAGUAUGCCUGGAAUUUUACGAUUCUUGCGUACAAUUCUUAACGAAAGAAUUUUUAUAAUUAUUUAUACGAAAUAAUCAAUAUGGAAAUCAACGUU